rnacentral:rRNA from 1 species
AUCAGCAUUGAAACGGCACUUCACCAAUUUUGUCCAGUCUCAGAAGCUAGGCAGAGUUUGGCCUGUUAGUGCUUGGUUGGGUAAUCACCUGGGAGUACCAGGUACUGUAGUUA